AACGAACGCUGGCGGCGCGCCUAAUACAUGCAAGUCGAGCGAGAAGACGUAGCAAUACGUUUGUAAAGCGGCGAACGGGUGAGGAAUACAUGGGUAACCUACCCUCGAGUGGGGAAUAACUAGCCGAAAGGUUAGCUAAUACCGCGUACGCUCCUUGGACUUCGGUUCAGGGAGGAAAGCGAUACCGUGGGUAUCGCGCUCUUGGAUGGGCUCAUGUCCUAUCAGCUUGUUGGUGAGGAACGGCUCACCAAGGCUUCGACGGGUAGCUGGUCUGAGAGGACGAUCAGCCACACUGGCACUGCGACACGGGCCAGACUCCUACGGGAGGCAGCAGUAAGGAAUAUUGGACAAUGGGCGCAAGCCUGAUCCAGCGAUGCCGCGUGUGUGAAGAAGGCCUGCGGGUUGUAAAGCACUUUCAGUAGGGAAGAAAGCCGAGUGCUAAUAUCACUCGGUCUUGACGUUACUUACAGAAGAAGCACCGGCUAACUCCGUGCCA
rnacentral:rRNA from 1 species